rnacentral:rRNA from 1 species
GAUGAACGCUGGCGGCGUGCUUAACACAUGCAAGUCGAACGAUGAAAGCGGGAGCUUGCUCCUGCUGGAUUAGUGGCGAACGGGUGGGUAACACGUGAGCAAUCUGCCCCGAACUCUGGGAUAAGCGUUGGAAACGACGUCUAAUACCGGAUACGACGCGCGAAGGCAUCUUCUGCGCGUGGAAAGAACUUCGGUUCGGGAUGAGCCCGCGGCCGAACAGCUAGUUGGUGAGGUAACGGCCCACCAAGGCGACGCCGGGUAGCCGGCCUGAGCGGGUGACCGGCCACGCUGGGACUGAGACACGGCCCAGACUCCUACGGGAGGCAGCAGUGGGGAAUAUUGCACAAUGGGCGCAAGCCUGAUGCAGCAACGCCGCGUGAGGGACGACAGCCUUCGGGUUGUAAACCUCUUUUAGUAGGGAAGAAGCGAAAGUGACGGUACCUGCAGAAAAAGCACCGGCUAACUACGUGCCAGCCGCCGCAGUAAUAC